GAAUUUUAUAUAUAAAAUUUAUUAAUGGUUAAUUAUUUAGUUGAUGAAUGGUUUAUAUAUUUAAUUGGGAGGAUUGUUAAAUUAAUUAAACUUUAAUUAAUAUAGGAAUGAUAUAGAUGAAUAAUUUAUAAAUAUAAAUAUGAAAAAGGAGGAUUUUAUUUUAAUUGAGUAAGAAUUAAUUACCUUAGGGAUAACAGCGUAAUAAUUUUGGAAAGAACAUAUUGAUAAAAUUGAUUGC
rnacentral:rRNA from 1 species